AUGGACAAAAAAACCAAAAAACAAAAAAACAAAAAACCAUGUCCAGCUCUAGGGGAUACCCAGAGAUGUUUGUCUCUAUACAUCAGCAUUGAGAGAAGUAUUUGCCAUAUGUUUUCAAAACAUUCUAAUUCCCCCAAAUUGCCUUUUUUCUUCAUUUUAUUGCAAUGUUUCCGUAUUGCUUAUUUAAAAUGGUACCAUUCACAAUGGUGCUGUCAGAACAAGUCUCUUGGUUCUAAGUCAGAAGUAUCAUCCUCUGUCUUAUUUUUAAGUGCAAGUGACAAAUGUUGGCACUGCCUGGCAGGUGUGUUCUCGUCCACAGUAAGAUGGCACUUUGCAGAUGUCACUGGCUGGGACAGCCCACGCAAAGGGCGUGACCGCUGGAGGAUCCCUCUGUUCCUAAAGGAGUUCUUCCAUAGGUACAAUGGGACAGAUAGAGAUCACAAGAAGGCAGAGAGGCAGGCAGAGAGAGAGAGGAGGAAGCAGGCUCCCUGCUGAGCAGAAAGCCCUAUGUGGGGCUCAAUCCCAGGACCCUGAGAGGAUGACCUGAGCCGAAGGCAGAGACUUAACCCACUGAGCCACCCAGGUGCC
rnacentral:lncRNA from 1 species